CUUCAGCGCAUCAUCCUUCACCGAUCUGCACAGCUCCAAAAGCUUCAAAACAAGCAGACCACAGUCACAUGAGCGUUAAUGCAGAGAUUACACAACUAUAUCAUUAUACAACUGGAUGUUUUGAAGAAAAUAUCGGCUGAAAAGAAAGUAGCUUUAUGUAGAGGUUGCAUGCGCCAUGAAGCAACGCAGAGAUAAGGAGAGUGUGUAAACAGAGCGAGAAAGAGAUGGCAUGAAAGAAGAGAAAGGGAGACAGAAUGGAAAAUUUUGCCAGAGUUUGGUUACUCACACACUACGUAAAGACAAGUUCCCGUGUCGGAUUCAAGUGGAUCUACCUCGCUGGAGACGCCGGAGAAGCAGAAUGGCCCUGCUAUGGAAUUAUAAUCUGCAACAUGCUUCUCUCCCGUGGGGAUCUGAGUUCGUGCAUGGAUUCACUGCUGGCCAGCGUUCCCUGGAUGGUUUAUAUCGAUGUCUGCGCCCUAUUCUUCCCGAAUGCUUCUCUGCACCUGCUCGGAUCUUCUGAAACACAGCUAGAGAAAGUUACAUCGCAGCUGAAGAUCGCUCUCAUUAAUGCCCGGUCUCUAAACAAAACUUUUAUUUUAAAUGACUACUUUACCUCGCAAGCGCUGGACUUCCUAUGUGUUACGGAGACUUGGUCUAAGUCGAGUCAUUCUCGUUUUCGGAACUGAUGCCUUACGGCUGUAAUCUUUUAAAUUCCCCACGUAUGUCGGGCCGCGGUGGGGGCCUUGCUAACGUUUUUAAAGACACUUUUCACUGUCGUCCACUAUCUACCGGCUCAUACAACAGUUUUGAGGUGCAACUUUUACAAUUAGUCUUAGUAAACCCCAUCACUAUAGAUCUAAUAUAUCGUCCUCCUCACCAUAACAAGGACUUAAGUGAAUUUGCUGUAUUAAUGGGGGAUUUGGGAUUUUUUUUUUUUUGGAUAUUAUAUUUUUAUUUCAACAUUAUGACAACAUAAAACAGUACAAAAAAAGCUUUUUCCAUUGACAAAGGAUGAUUUUUUUAGCUACUAACAUUCCAUAUUGGACAGCUUUUUUAAUUUGAUGGCCUAAGCCAUGAAGGGAGUUAGACCAGCCAAAGACAACAAUUGCUGGGUCAGGGGAGAUGUCACAGGAAUAAGCCACUGAGUAGAAUCUGAAAAUUUCACUCAAACUCAAAGUUUCUGGCAUGACCAAAAAAGAUGUCCCAGAGAGAGUAGUUUGUAACACUCUGUUCAAUGGCGAGCCAAGAUGGAAUGUCAUCUGCAGGCCCCAGAAGAUGAGAUUUUUUUUCAGUAUGAUAAGGCUCUGCAAUUUGCAGCCCAAUAAUAAUGCUGGAAGUUUGGCAAGCCUAAUCCUCCCAUCAACCUUGGUUUACAAACAUGUAACUUAGAAAUACAGUGUGCUCUGAAGCCCCACACAAAAUGGCAGGACAAUUGAAUCCAAGGCUUUAAAAAAAUUUUGGGCAGGAAAAUUGGCAGGUUUUGGAAAAGGUAAAGAAAUCUGGGCAAUGUCACCAUCUUGAUUGCAUUCACGCGCCCUACCAUAGACAGUGGGAAGGUCCUCCAGCUUUCAAUAUUACAUUUCAAAUUCUCUAGCAUAGUCAAGUAAUUUAAUUUAUAUAUAUCCUUUGCAUUUUUAGGUAAAAUGACCCCCAAAUAUUUCAAACUGUCUGUUGCGAUAUUUAAAGGUAGGUUUUGUAUGAAGCCUGGGUCAAUAUUACUAGUAACAGGCAUGAAUUCACUCUUGCCAAUUUACAGAAUAUCCAGAGAACUUUCCAAAAGUCUCCAGUAAGUCUAAUAGGGGUGGAACAGACCGUUCUGGGUCAACAAGGUAAAGAAUAAUGUCAUCGGCAUAAAGAGAUAUAUGGUGUUCUAAGUGGCCUAUCUUAGGAGAUGAAGUGGGUUAUUUCUUAUAGCAACCGCAAGGGGCUCUAUAGCAAUGGCAAAAAGCAAGGGUGAAAGGGGACACCCAUGUCUAGUGCCUCUAUGUAGUGUGAAUUGUGAAGUUAUAAAUUUAUUUAGUCUAUUCGCAAGGAUUUUUGUGAAAAUUUUAAGAUCUGAAUUCAGAAGAGCUAUGGGACGGUAUGAUGCUGGAUCCAUUUCAUCUUUCCCUUUUUUAAGAAUGAAAGAAAUGUUAGCAUCAUACAUUGAUUGUGGAAAUUCCUGAUUUUCAAUAGAGUGGUUAAAUAAUCUCAACAUCAGGGGAGCGAGUUUUUCAGAGUAUUUCUUAUAAAAUUAAAUUCCGAAACUGUCAAGUCCGGGGGCGUUACUGCUAGGGAAUGAUGUGAUGGCUUCAAAUAUUUAAUCUAACGUUAUGUUUGCAUUGAGGGCGUUUCAAUCUGUAUCAUCUAAUUUUGGGAGAUGUAAUGAUUGGAGGAAAUGGGAAAGGUCUGCAGGGUCACUGGAAGUUCGUGAUUCAUACAAAGCCUCAUAAAAUUCCUUGAAACAUUCAUUAAUGUCCCUAGGGUUCGUCGCUAGCGUUCCAUCCCUUUUCCUAAUUUGAUGAAAAGAUCUACUGGCUUGGAUACUUCUCAGCUGUCGAGCGAGCAGCCUGUCUGGUUUGUCCCCUAGCUCGAAUUGUUUUCGUUUUAUUUUUAAUAGCAUAUUGUUAACUUGGUUGGAAAGAAUUGUAUUAUAUUCUAGAACAGAACAGGAUCUGCAUGUAAAUGUUCAAGUUGAUUAAGAUGAGCUUCAAUUACUGACAGGCGAGCUUUUCUUUGUUUCUUUAAGCCAGAUUCAUACGAGAUGAUGUGCCCCCUUAAUACCGCCUUAAGUGACUCCCACAGUGUUGAGUCGGACACUUCCCCUGAAUCGUUAAACAUAAGAUAGUCAUCCAGCCAUUCUAUGACACACUGGGAAAAAUGAGAAUCAAGGAGUAAUGUAGGGUUGAAUCGCCAGCUAUGAUUAGGCUUUAUAUCAAAAAGGUCAAGUGAAAUGGUCACCGCAGAAUGAUCUGAGAUUAUUCUAUUAUGGUGUUUCACUGAAGUUACGCAUGAGGCCACCUUAAAAUCAACUAGAAAAAAAUCUAUUCUAGAAUAUGAAUUGUGGACAUGAGAGAAAAAAGUAUACUGUCUGUCGGUCAGAAUUUUUAAACUUGAGUCUUUUGACUUUACUCAAUGGGUUUCCAGUCCAACACAUACGCUUGAUCUAAUAUUAACCCAUGGUUUUUCUAUUUCAAAUAUUGAAAUCAGCAGUGCAUCUUUCUCCGAUCACAGAAUCUUCUGUACUGUCCCUCUUACGGGCCGAUUCCUUAGAAAUCCAUCGCUGGCAUGUUUGACUCGCUCUCUUACUCAACAUUCUAGUGAAGAAUUUGCUGUAGCCUACCGUGAUUUAUGCAACUCUCUGGAGUCAGAAUCUACUCUGCUUAAUCUGGACGCUGAUGCACAUCUUUAAUCUUUAAUAGCAAUUCUACCUGUGCUGACAUCAUGAAUUCUAUUGCCCCCUUGAAGUAUAAAAAUCAUAAGCCUGUACCUGUGCCUUUGGUACACUGAAACUACACGUACUCUGAGACGGACUUGCAGACAGGCUGAAUAGAAGAAGGACAGACUGCAGGUUUCUUAUGAAAUUGAGAAACUCUUAUAACAUGUUUCUUAAAUCUUAAAUCCCUCUGUGCAUUCUAUUCUUGAGCCCUCAACUUCUCUUUGCAACAAUUUUGGGAAGUUUUUUUGUUGAGAAGUUCACAACAUUAAGAUCCCAGUUGUUUAAUUCAAUAUAUAUUUUGCAUGAUGUUCCAUUAUGUUCUUCUACCUGGUCUGAGUUUGAGCCUAUUGAUUUGAUUUCAUGUAAUGAAAUUGUUGGUCACCUAAAACCAACUAUCUGCCCUCAAGAUAUAAUUCCACCUCUUUUUCUUAGACAAAUCAUGGACACAGUUAAUUCUGGUCUGUUAUUGGUUAUUAACAAAUGUUUGUCUACUGGUUCCUUCCCUAACAGUCUUAAAUGUGCUGUGGUGACGCCUUAUCUUAAAAACCAAACCUGGAUCCUUCUUCUUUUUCCAAUUUUCGUCCUAUUUCUAAUCUACCCUUUAUUUCAAAGAUCCUUGAGAAAAUUGUAUUGACUAAAUUACAAUCUUAUUUGACUUAAUUCUGUUCAUGAGAUGUUUCAAUCUGGCUUCAAAGCUUUACACAGUACUGAAUCUGCCCUUUUAAGAAUCUCAAGUAAUAUCUUUACAGAAACUGACUCUGGGAAAUCCAUGGCUUUAGUUUUAUUAGAUCUGAGUGCUGCUUUUGAUUUGGUUGAUCAUGAGGUCCUGUUGACACGUUUGGAGACAUCUGUGGGCCUGCGUGGCACAGUCUUACAGUGGUUCCAUUCCUAUCUGACCAACAGAAGUUUUAAUGUUUGUAUUGGUCAUCAGUCCUCCUCUAGUAUACCUCUUAAUUGUGGAGUGCCACAGGGAUCAAUCCUUGGGCCGUUAUUGGUUACCCUGUAUAUGCUACCUCAGGCUUCCAUUUUUAACAAAUAUAAAGUAUCCUUUCAUCUAUAUGCUGAUGAUACUCAGAUCUACUUUCCUUUAAAGCACAAUGAUAAAAACGGCCUACAACCGCUGUUGGCCUGUCUAGAAGAAUUUAAGCUUUGGCUCUCAAGUAUUUUUUUACAUUUAAAUUAAAAAACCGCCAAAUAAUUAUAUUUGGGCAUAAGUAAAAUUGUGUGUUAGAUGUUGACCGUGGCCCUCUGGCCCCAUAUGAAACUCAGUGCGCUAGAAAUCUGGGCAUUCUAUUUGAUCAUAACUUAAAAUUUGACAAACAGAUCAAUGCUGUUGUAAAAUCAUGUUUUUAUAAUCUCCAUCAAAUUUCUAAAGUAAAACCCUUCUUAUCACAGAGUAAUUACCAAAUGGUGAUCCAUGCUUUUGUAACAACUCGCUUAUUAUUGUAAUUCACUUUAUUACGGUCUUUAUCAGUCUUCUCUCUCCCGUCUACAGCUAGUGCAAAAUGCAGCUGCUAGACUUCUUUCUGGUACCCGCAAGUAUGAGCCAGUAACCCCUAUUUUAUCGGCAUUACACUGGUUACCCAUCAAAUAUAGAAUUGAUUUUAAAAUUCUUCUAUUUGGGUAUAAAGCCCUCAACAGUUUGGCCCCUCAGUACCUGACAGACCUGCUUCGUCCAUACACCCCUUCUAGAACAUUGAGAUCUAGUGAUCUCUGUCUACUCAUCGUGCCUAGAUGUAGACUUAAAAAAACGAGGUGAUUGCGCUUUUGCGACUGCAGGUCCGAAACUCCGGAAUAGUCUACCUCUUCAUAUCAGAUUAGCCCCCUCUAUUUCUGCUUUUAAGUCUGCUCUAAAGAUCUCUUCUCUCUAGCUUUCAAUACCCCUUGAUCAUUGGUUGAAUUGUUGGUUUGUUAUUGUUGUGUUUUAAAUUUGAUAGUCUUGUUGUAUCCAUCUUAUUUCUGUGUUUUUUUUUUUAUUCUAUUCUGUACAGCACUUUGGUCAACCUUGGUUGUUUUUAAAUGUUCUUUACAAAUAAAUAUUGUAUUGUAUUGUAUUGUAUUCAUUGAUAUAGUGACACUAAAGGUGCUUGACCAUGCUUUAGUUUUUGAUGUCUUGGGAAUGAG